UUGCAACAAUCCGAAGUAGCUCUGGUGGAUUUGCAAUUCUAGCCGCCUUCACUUUGUUGGAAAUUAGUCCGGCAAUUUGGUACCUUCGUUCCAACUCUAUCUUUAUUUUUCGCAAUUUAAUUUACGCAAUUUAAUUCUGAAAAUUUAAUUUGUUGCAAUUUAUUUUCUUGUGAUUUAUUUAAGUGUGAUUUAAAUUAAAUCUAUUUAAUAAUGACGAAGAGAUUUAGACGUGGUGCCGGUAGUAGUGAUAUUGUCAGGGGUGGGUUUAAUGAGGAAAUAUUUGUGGAAGAAACACCUAAUUUAGGUAAUGAUGUUGGUGGAAAUAAUCCACGUUUAGAUCAUGAGGCAAUGCAACAACAUUAUACCGACACUUUUAAUGAAAUUGAUGAUGAUGAUGAUGAUGAAACACAAGCCCCCGAAAAUCCCAUAGGAGAUACAAGUCCUGCACAAUCACAUACACAAGAUAAACUGCCUAAAACUCGUAAGCCAACCGCUAAAAUUUGGAAAUUUAUGACUAAGGAUAAGGAAAGCCAAACAGCUAAAUGUACCCUAUGUAGACAAGUAUUUGCUUUUAGGCAAGGAACUAGUAAGGAUGGUGGAAUGUGUACACUAAAUGGUCAUAUGAGAAAGAAACAUAUGGAUGUUUGGGGAGAGCAAACGUGUUCAAAUGUGGGGGUAUUCAAAUGACGAUACACCCACGAACCGGUAAAAUUUUUAAGUAUGACAAGAAAAAAGAGCGUGUAGAAAUAGCUAAAAUGAUAGCUUAUGAUUGUUUACCAUUUUUCUUUCCUUCGUGUUUGAGGUUUGUUACUUACAUUCAACGUUGUUAUAAUCUGUUAUUUGAGGGUAUUCCUAGAAGUACUUGUAGAGCGGAUGUUAUAGAUUUAUAUAAAAAAUAUAGAUUUUAUUUGCGCCAUGUAUUUAAUACUUUAAAUUGUAAUGUUUCUUUUACCGCUGAUUUGAGUCUUAGUCUUAACAAGUUAGAUUUUUUUGCCAUUACAUGUCAUUAGGUUGAUGAUAAUUGGGUUAUGCAAAAAAGAAUUAUAGCUUUUUUAUAUGAUGAAGGGAAAGGUCGUCACGAUGAAAUUUUUUAACAUUUAUAGAAAAACACUUUGUAUUACUUUAGAUAAUGCUUCUAAUAAUACAAAGGCGAUUGGUCUUUCAAAAAGAGAAUUAAACCCUCCACUAAAAAAUAUUUUUCACGUGAGAUGUAGUUGUCACAUUUUAAACUUAAUUGUUAAAGAUGGUCUUGUGUGUUUUGACGAUUCUAUUCAAAAAGUUAGAGAGGCGGUUGCGUUUUUUUUUUUGUAAUGCUAAUAGGGGAAGACUGAGAGAUUUUAAGAAUUGUUGUGUGGAAAUAACCUUAGAACUAGAAAAAUUCAAGUAGAAAUUGAGACUAGAUGGAACUACACUUACAUUAUGCUACAACAAGCAUAUGAGUAUAGAAUUCUCAUACAAUAAGUUCACAACAAAUAUAAUAUUAAUAAUGAUGAUUGGUUAAAUUUUACGCAUUGGGAAGAUGUUAAGGAAUGUGUUGAACUCUUAGAAAGUUUUUAUAAUGCAACUCUUGCUUUUUCUAAACAAUUCUAUCGCACGGUAACCGAAAUUUUAGCCUAUUCAGCGGAAAUAGCUAGAGUUUUACAAGAGUAUAAAUAUAAACACGGUUAUCAAGUGGCUAUUUUUGAUAUGACAACAAAAUUUAAGAAGUAUUUUUUCCCAUCCCAGCUUUAUUUAUAUUGGGUUCUCUUUUAAAUCCUUGUUUAAAAGUGUCUUAUACUAAAACAUUGGUUAAUCAAAUUUAUACAUUUUUAGAAAUUGAAGAGGGAGUUGAACCAUCUUUAGCUGAAGCCGACCUUGCUAUUGAUGCCGAGUUUAGAAAAGUUUUUAGUCAUUAUUCUAAUUUGGAAGAACAUGCUACACCUGUUGCUCCACGCCCUACUAUUUCUCAAAGUAGCAAAAAAGACUUGUCGGCCAAAUGUGGAUAUCAAGGAAUUAGAUGAUUUGGAUGUCUUAGCAUGGUGAAAGAAAUACAAGGCAAGUCAUUCGAUACUCUCAAGAAUGGCUCGAGAUAUCUUUAUGGUUCAAGUAUCAACCGUGGCUUCGGAGAGUGCAUUUAGCCAAGGAAGACAACAAAUUGGAGACCAUAGAUACUCAUUAUCCGGAUUUAGCUUGUAAGUACUAGUGUGCAUUUGCGAUUGGAUUAGAUCGGAGCGACGCAAUCAAAACUUAGAAGCGGUGGAAGGCGAAGAGGAAGAGAUUGAAGAUUUGAUAGCAAGUGGAGUGGAUCAAAUGGAAGAUUUUGAAGAUAUCUCCAUGGCUGAAUAUGAUAUGGGGGAAAUUAACCAAAUGAUUGAGAAUUGGUGAUUUUAUUACUCUACUAUUUCUUUGCAACUCAUGUAUUAUUUGCAAGUUAAAAAAACUACAACUUGCAAAUAAAUGUUAUCCAAGAAUGAAUAAAAUAUAUGGCUCAUUGAGCUUUUUUCUA